GACGAACGCUGGCGGCGUGCUUAACACAUGCAAGUCGAACGCUGAAGCUCAGCUUUUGUUGGGUGGAUGAGUGGCGAACGGGUGAGUAACACGUGAGUAACCUGCCUCCUUCUUUGGGAUAACGCCCGGAAACGGGUGCUAAUACUGGAUAUUCACUGGUCUUCGCAUGGGGGUUGGUGGAAAGGGUUUUUCUGGUGGGGGAUGGGCUCGCGGCCUAUCAGCUUGUUGGUGGGGUGAUGGCCUACCAAGGCUUUGACGGGUAGCCGGCCUGAGAGGGUGACCGGUCACAUUGGGACUGAGAUACGGCCCAGACUCCUACGGGAGGCAGCAGUGGGGAAUAUUGCACAAUGGGCGCAAGCCUGAUGCAGCGACGCCGCGUGAGGGAUGGGGGCCUUCGGGUUGUGAACCUCUUUCGCUCAUGGUCAAGCCGCAACAAUGGUUGCGGUGAGGGUAGUGGGUAAAGAAGCGCCGGCUAACUACGUG
rnacentral:rRNA from 1 species